rnacentral:rRNA from 1 species
UGGGGAAUAUUGCACAAUGGGCGGAAGCCUGAUGCAGCGACGCCGCGUGGGGGAUGACGGCCUUCGGGUUGUAAACCUCUUUCAGCUCUGACGAAGCCUUUGGGUGACGGUAGGGGCAGAAGAAGCGCCGGCCAACUACGUGCCAGCAGCCGCGGUAAGACGUAGGGCGCGAGCGUUGUUCGGAAUCACUGGGUGUAAAGGGUGCGUAGGCGGUUCGUCAAGUCUGAUGUGAAAGCCCUGGGCUCAACUCAGGAAUAGCAUUGGAAACUGGCGAGCUAGAAUACCGGAGAGGGAAGCGGAAUUCCUGGUGUAGCGGUGAAAUGCGUAGAUACCAGGAGGAACACCGGUGGCGAAGGCGGCUUCCUGGACGAGUAUUGACGCUGAGGCACGAAAGCGUGGGGAGCAAACGG